UACGAACCGUCCAAACGUUAUUCGGAAUCACUGGGCUUACAGAGUUCGUAGGCGGUGGAGAAAGUAGGGUGUGAAAGCCCUCGGCCUAACCGAGGAAUUGCGCCCUAAACUACUUCGCUGGAGGAGGAUAGAGGUGAGCAGAACUGAUGGUGGAGCGGUGAAAUGCGUUGAUAUCAUCAGGAAUACCGGAGGCGAAGGCGGCUCACUGGGUCCUUUCUGACGCUGAGGAACGAAAGCUAGGGGAGCGAACGGG
rnacentral:rRNA from 3 species